rnacentral:tRNA from 1 species
GGAUUGUGGCUCAGUGGUAGAGUGGUUGCCUAGUAUGCAUGAAGCACUGGGUUCAAUUCUCAGCACCA